rnacentral:rRNA from 1 species
UACGUAGGGGGCAAGCGUUGUCCGGAAUCAUUGGGCGUAAAGAGCGCGUAGGCGGUCCGGUAAGUCCGCUCUGAAAGUCCGGGGCUCAACCCCGGAUCUGCCGUGCCGACUGUCAAACUCGAGGACUGUAGAGGCAGACGGAAUUCCGGGUGUAGCGGUGGAAUGCGUAGAGAUCCGGAGGAAGACCGGUGGCGAAGGCGGUCUGCUGGGCAGUUUCUGACACUGAGGCGCGACAGCGUGGGGAGCAAACAGG